AACAAACGCUGGCGGCGUGUCCUAAGCAUGCAAGUUGAGCGGCAAGGAGGAGGAAUCCUCCCUAGAGCGGCGGACUGGUGAGUAACGCGUGGGUAAUCUAUCAUAGGCAUGGGGAUAGUCACUAGAAAUAGUGGGUAAUACCGAAUACGUUCCAUGAGGGGAGGACUCAUGGAAGAAAGGGUGCUACGGCACUGGCCUUAGGUGAGCUCGCGUCCCAUUAGCUAGUUGGUGAGGUAAAGGCCCACCAAGGCGAUGAUGGGUAGCCGGCCUGAGAGGGUGUACGGCCACACUGGGACUGAGAUACGGCCCAGACUCCUACGGGAGGCAGCAGUCGAGAAUAGUCUACAAUGGACGAAAGUCUGAUAGUGCGACGCCGCGUGAACGAAGAAUCCGUUUCGGGUAGUAAGUUCUUUUACUAUGUGAGCUAGUUUCCUUUUAUAUGAAGAGUAUAGGAAGGGGUAUUUAAGCUAGUAGGAAUAAGACAACGGCUAACUCCGU
rnacentral:rRNA from 1 species